ACCUACGGGGGGCAGCAGUGGGGAAUAUUGCACAAUGGGGGAAACCCUGAUGCAGCAACGCCGCGUGAGUGAAGAAGCGUUUCGGCGCGUAAAGCUCUGUCAGCGGGGAAGAAAGAAGACGGUACCCGACCAAGAAGCCCCGGCUAACUACGUGCCAGCAGCCGCGGUAAUACGGAGGGUGCGAGCGUUAAUCGGAAUUACUGGGCGUAAAGCGCUCGUAGGCGGUAUGUCAAGUCAAGGGUGAAAUCCCCGCGCUCAACGUGGGAACUGCCUUUGAAACUGGCAAACUGGAGUGUGUGAGAGGA
rnacentral:rRNA from 1 species